rnacentral:lncRNA from 1 species
ACACCACAUUGAACCAGUUUGACAUUGCGAGCGUUUGUUUUUGUUGUUUUUGUUGUCAGAGAGAAGUGCCUACAGGAGAACGCGCAAAAAAAGAAAAAGAGACCGAGGACACGGUGAAGAAGGGAUUCCUGGGACCACUCCAGCUGCUCGGUAAAUAGCUUCAGCCAAGGCGCCCCGCUGGUCGGCGGUCGAUUCAGAAGACGUUUCUGUGGAUGAGGCCAACAACAUGCAGGACAUUUGAACUUCUUCAAGGUGAACGACCAACAUCAGAAGAACGAUUCCACGCAUGUUUCGAUGAGCAAAGACCGCCUCCGCGACGUUACCAAUCGCCAUCCUGAUCUUCAUCGACCUUAUCGGUUGAAACUUGUCCCGUUUCCGUGGGACGGUCCGCGGGACUUCUCAACCUUAUUACGGCUGGGAAGCCUCACGGCCGAGCUGCGAGAAAAACGCGCCACAACAGAUCGUUCAACCAGUGCUGGCCCCUCUGCCAGCUGACGACCCGGACAGUUCCAGCGGAAAUGAACUUAGCUAUCUUGAGACUCUAGUGGCGGUCACAGUCGAAAUGGAACGUGAGAUGUUGAGAUUAAAAAAAUAAAAAUAAAAAUAGUUGAAAAAUGAAA